AGAGUUACAGAAGGAUUGUUAUUUUUGAGCCUGCACGGCCAAACACCAGUAAACUGAUAACAUUCACCUUCAGAAAACAGAUUUUUAUCUUCUCACAUUAAACCUGACCAGGGUAAAACUUGCUUCUGUCCUCCUGCUGUUGAAAUAUGUUGCCAUAAGUGUUUAGUGUAACAUCUGACCUGUUUCUCUUGAAUCUUCCUAGAUUACGGUCAAGUCAUUUGCACUUCAAUAGUUCAGGGGCUGUACCACAAUUUCUGGGGCUGGAAAGUAGCUCAGCUGUAAAAACUUGCUGGAGGCUGUAAACUGGCAUAAAGAGGCUAAACCAGGGAGUAUUUUUAAAGACGGUUUUGGAGGGAGACAAUUAUUACAAUUAUUACACUUGAGUGCUUCCCCCUCUGUUCCCCUUUUGGUUGUGAGCCUAAAAAUUAUGGAGAUCUUCAAGGCUGUCUUUCCAAAAUGAUUUAAAGACAAAACUACAGCAACCAUUUGCCAGCUCUCUGACUCAACAGGUAAAGCAGAGUCACCAGUGCAAAGUUAAAUGGCCUGAUCAAUAAUGCACUGGAGCUGUAUUGAUUGCAUAUGUUCAGAAAGGGACAGGGGAGGAAUAGAUGUGUGAGGACUGUAAGCCUCAUGCACCAGCUCUGUUAUAAGGGAUGGGGGACCUGCAGCAACCAAGGGCUGUGUGCUCCUCCAUCACCACACACACCUUGGCUUGGCAGACCCACUGUGGUCCCCUGGCUAAUGCCAUCAUAUAAAUUGCCCACAAAAUCUUAACACUUGAAAGUCUAAUACUGUGAAAUACUUCUGUGCAGAGUGUGCCACUUGGAACUGCAUCAUCUUCCCCAGACUCCCUCCCCCCCUUCCCGAAACACCUCUCAGCUAAUACAUGUAAUUUAAUAGCCAUGUAUUGUUUAAAUCCUCAUAAACAGCAUGAAAUAAAAUAGAGAAACUAGGCUGCCUGCGAAGCAUCCAGGUCUCCAGAGAGGUGGCAAAUUGUAUCACCAGUCCCUCUAGAACUGCCAAAGAACCCCAUCAAUCCUUUUUGCACCAUCGGUCUAAAGAUGCUGUAUUCUAUAUAACAGACAGAUAAAGACACAUUCUGAAACACAUUCUACAGCAGAGAUAAAUAUACAAGCUGUCUCGGUGAAUUAGUUACAUGUGUAAAUAGCUUCCUGAAGAGCAGGCUCAGUUUGACGGUUAAAAUCUGAUCCAAAAUCAGCAGGAGUCACACAAGAAAAAAAAAAAAUCUCCUACUUUGAACCAGGGGUUCUGAAUCAGGUCUUUGGUUAAUUGGAAAUGGAUAACUCUGGAUAUGACACCUGCUGGGCAGUCUUUGGUCACUAAUCCACUCCAGUUGUCCACAAAGGCUUGCAGCCUUGUCACCCCUCACGCCAGGCUCAGCAGGGAGGUGAGAGAUGAAUGCCCCAGAAAGUCAAACUACUCAGCCCAGCACUGUUAUCCUCUGGAUGGGGUCGGGGCAAAGCCACAGGGGAGCACAGGUGAAGUAUGCAUUGCCACUGGCCAUGGCAGCACCUGCCUCCAAAUAAGAAAAAGAGAGUUUGGUCUCCAGCACAAUGGAUAAACGGGGAGGAAAAAAAAAUACAAAAAAGUCUUAAAAAUUCAAAGAAUUUCUACUGAAGUAGUGCCAUAAACUGGUGGGAAAGACUUCUCAAAGAAAGUAACUUUCUCUAUGGAAACAAAUAGAUGAUUUCUCAAGUGGAUGCCCCUGCCAAGCCCUAGCACUGAAGUCCUGUAAAAAGCUCCAGAAAGGGAUUUAGCCUGGCUUUUAAACCAGGACAAAUCCCACCGGCUUGUAGCCGAGAUACCACUUUUGUUAAUACAGAAGUUGGUUUUUAUUCCUUCUGCCAAAGCAACCUGGCCUGCCUGGUCCCACAGUGAGGUCAUAACUCAGGGCUGAUCACAUCACAGCACGUUGCCAUGGCAAUGCUUGAACUGUCACAAAGGAUGUGCGCUGUGAUUUCACAGCAGAUGGGCUGUGAGGGAGGAAGCCCUCAUUUAAAUUUUAAAAAUUGCUUUAGUAAUUAGCAAGAGCAAUAGAAAAAAAAUUAAAAAACAUUGAAAAGAGAAGAAAAAUCCCCAAACUGUCACUCUCAGCAAAGGUUAUAGCAUUCACGUGAGAUCUGCAGACCAUCCACAAGAAAGGUCAAGCUGCUGCUCCAAGUUCACUGAGCUUGUCAGGUCACUGAUAAGUCCAAAAAAGUCUGGAGCCUGCUUGGCUACAGGAGGCCCAGAGCAGCAGUGGGAGAGCAAAGCCCCCCUGGUGCAUCAGUGCAUAUCAAAGCCAGCCACCCUUCACAGGGACCUGAUAGGAAUGGCAGAGGGGAGGCAGAGGCUGCCAAAGGCUUUAUUAAAACACUAACUGCCCGACACAAGUCAGUACAGUGGCAGCCUGACUUCAGAGGUUUUUAGCAAGAAGCUGGCUCUGUUAUUUCUGUGGUCCUUCUUAAUAAAGCACGAAGAGCACACAGAUGUGCUUGCAUCCUUUCAGGGACAAGGUGGAGUUUUACUCCCCAAAGACAGCACAUCUGAUCGGUGCUUACUACUUCAGCUUGCAUUUGCACACGCCGGUGAUUGAGAACACUGCCAUUGAUGUGCACACUACCAGUCAAGCACCACUUCCUGCCCUCAGCACAGAGAUCAAGGUUUCCACAAGAGAGGAAAAAAAGGAUAUUUAUGCAGUACCUUCAGAGCGAAAGUCAGAGCUGCACCUCCAAGACAGGGAAUUACAUCUGUAAUGCUGACUCAGCCUGCAAUUUCACAGGAUUAAACAGUAAGAAAAAAACCUACUAAACUGAAAAAGACUGAAAUGUAUGUGACAAUACAUAUGUCAGACACUCAUAUCCACACUGUAAGAAAACUACAUAUCCGUACACGGUUGAUUUUGUCCGACCAAGGCAUUUCACAGACAAGACUGCAACUUCAUCUGAGGGCUUUAUGGAGCAGAUGUCACUUUUAACCCAGAGAUGGUGCACGGAAAGAACAGACAGGGCACUAGAUUUAAAGCAAACAAGUACUCAGCCCUCACUUUCCUGGGAAAUUGUGCAUUCAUGUUCACUGUGCUUUGUAAUCAGUGUGGCUUUCAUUGUGCUAUUAAUUAAAAAGAGAGGCCUUAUGCAAAAGAAAUUUAAAAUUGCAAAUUUCCUUUUGCAUAUUCUGCAAAAGCAAUUUCCAUUUUGCUAUGUUACCCUGCAUCAUGUUAAUGUUAGGUUUUUAUAAAUGAACACUGAGACUUUGUAAGAGUAUUCGAAUUGCAUUCAUCACUGAUACUUUUUUAAUUGCAUGACUUUCCAAGGAAUUAAGGCUUUUGUAAUUAUAAACUCUAAUCUUAAACACUGUUCUCCCAUCACUCAGUACAUCUUCGAUCAUUUCACUUAACUUCAAAUAAAUUUGACAGAAUCCGAGCUAACCAACCAACUACAAGUUUCCUAAAUGACAGCAUCCAGGUACAGAUGCCACACAGGCUGUUUGUCCCACUGCUGGAGAUUCAGAGGAGGAAUUUGAUGACCAAGUCAAAAAACAAUCACAAAACCAAUCUUUGUGCACUAUAUU